rnacentral:rRNA from 1 species
GGGAGCCUGAGAAACGGCUACCACAUCCAAGGAUGGCAGCAGGCGCGCAAAUUACCCAAUCCCGACACGGGGAGGUAGUGACAAUAAAUAACAAUACGGGGUUCUUUAGGAUCUCGUAAUUGGAAUGAGUACAAUUUAAAUCUCUUAACGAGGAACAAUUGGAGGGCAAGUCUGGUGCCAGCAGCCGCGGUAAUUCCAGCUCCAAUAGCGUAUAUUAAAGUUGUUGCAGUUAAAAAGCUCGUAGUUGAAUUUCGGGGUUAGUAGGUUGGUCAUGCCUCUGGUAUGUACUGGUCUCACUGAUUCCUCCUUCCUUAUGAACCGUAAUGCCAUUAAUUUGGUGUUGCGGGGAAUUUGGACUGUUACUUUGAAAAAAUUAGAGUGUUUAAAGCAAGCUAACGCUUGAAUACAUUAGCAUGGAAUAAUGAAAUAGGACGUUCGAUCUUAUUUUGUUGGUUUCUAGGAUUGACGUAAUGAUUAAUAGGGAUAGUUGGGGGCAUUAGUAUUCAAUUGUCAGAGGUGAAAUUCUUGGAUUUAUUGAAGACUAACUACUGCGAAAGCAUUUGCCAAGGAUGUUUUCAUUAAUCAAGAACGAAAGUUAGGGGAUCGAAGACGAUCAGAUACCGUCGUAGUCUUAACCAUAAACUAUGCCGACUAGGGAUCGGAUGAUGUUAAUUUUUUAAUGACUCAUUCGGCGCCUUACGGGAAACCAAA